UACGGAGGGGGCGAGCGUUAUUCGGAAUUACUGGGCGUAAAGGGCGCGCAGGCGGCUUAUUUUGUCAGGCGUGAAAGCCCCGGGCUUAACCUGGGAACUGCGUUUGAUACGGAUGGGCUAGAGUUCGGGAGAGGAGCGUGGAAUUCCCAGUGUAGAGGUGAAAUUCGUAGAUAUUGGGAAGAACACCGGUGGCGAAGGCGGCUCACUGGCUCGUAUCUGACGCUCAGGCGCGAUAGCGUGGGGAUCAAACAGG
rnacentral:rRNA from 1 species